rnacentral:lncRNA from 1 species
UUUUUAGGCCUUGGGGGUUGGGGCGGGAGACCGAAGGUGGAGAUGUGCCGCUGUGUACAGCCGACUUGCCUGCCCAUCACCCAAACACCAAGUUCCGCUCGCAGAGGAAGUGAGAGGUGUCCGAUUCGGUCUCCCAGAACGCAGCUGGGCUGCCUGAAACGAGCGCCGCGGCGACUCUGAAGGAGGUGUCAUCCCUGGGCCAGUACAGGAUUGAGUCACAGCAGCCGCCACUCCUGCGUCAAAAAUACUGGGCCAUUGUCCCAGGGAGUUUGGCCCCUCAGUCAAGUCAUUUCCGACCCGCAACCUGGAAUCCCAAUGAAGGAAAAAGGGGAGGAAAAGAAGCGGAAACCAGGAUGGCUAAGCAAGCCGAGGAAGACGAGCCCCGGCCAGCUGGAGUAGCACCUGAGUGUGCGACCCCACCCCCCACUGGGGCAUCUUCUCCUUGGUUACAUUCCAGACCCGGAAGCGAAUCCCGGCUGUAUGGUGUCCAAAGACCUACAAUCUGGGGGCAUUCCUUAAUAAAAAGAAUCCAAGAUUCUGAAAACAAACUUAAGUACAAAAGACACUCCCAGCAUCUCCCUGCUCUCACAGGGCCCCGGAAGCUCGUGUCCAGUCAGCUUUACGGACUGGAGGCUGGAGAUCCAAGACCAGGGUGCCAGCAUGGUCGGGUUCUGGUGAGAGCCCUCUUCCGGUUGCAGACUGUAGACUUCUCAUUGCAUCCUCUCAUGUGGUAGAAGCUGCCUUGCCGAUGACAAGUGGUACCACAGAGGCCUCAGCUGCAACUGUUAGUUUCUGAAAGGAGGAACAUGAAGAAGGCCUGGCUCCCUCUCUGCCAAGGUCAGUGAGAGCUUUGGGCUGAUUUCAGCAGCAUGAGUACCCGACUUCAAAUGAAGGAAACCACAUGUGGAGCCAUGCUGAGUGGAAGGGACUUUAGAGGGCAUCUGGCUCAAUCCUCUCCAUUUACAGAUGAGGGACCCUGAGGUCCAGAGAGGUUAAGUGACUUGCCUAGGAUCACACAGCUAGUCACCUCCAGUGCUGAAACUGAAACCCAGGCCUCUUGAUUCCUUAGCUAUUUUUUUAAAAAAAUUUUAAAUUGAAGCAUACAUACGGAAAAGUGUACAUAUUGUAAGUGUACAGCUUGAAUUGCUAUCUUUAAAUGAACACAUCCAAGCAACCACCACCCGAGUCAAGAAAUAGACCAUCUCUAGAACCCCAGAAGCCCCCCUGAUGCUCCCCUUCCAUUCAGUACAAACUCUCUCCUCCUCAAGGUAACCAUGAUCCUGACUUCUAACACCACAGAUUACUUUGCCUUGGCCCAUGUUCUUUGAGUAAAAAACUGUUUUAUGCGGAGUUCAGCUAUUUGGACCUAAAAAAAUGAAUCUUCUGUUUUCUUGGAAUAUUUUAAAUGGUGUAUUAAGAAAGCAUAUUCCGAAAGGAAACCCCAUACUCAUUAAAGAGUAUGAUGUCUCCCUUAGGGGGUGAUAAAA